rnacentral:rRNA from 1 species
GAUGAACGCUAGCGGCAGGCCUAACACAUGCAAGUCGAGGGGGAGGUUACUUUCGGGUAACUGAGACCGGCGUACGGGUGCGUAACGCGUAUACAAUCUGCCUUUCACUGGGGGAUAGCCCGAAGAAAUUUGGAUUAAUACCCCAUAGUAUAGUAAUACGGCAUCGUGAUGCUAUUAAAGCUUAGGUGGUGAAAGAUGAGUAUGCGUUCUAUUAGCUAGUUGGAGAGGUAACGGCUCCCCAAGGCGAUGAUAGAUAGGGGUUCUGAGAGGGAUGUCCCCCACACUGGUACUGAGAUACGGACCAGACUCCUACGGGAGGCAGCAGUGAGGAAUAUUGGACAAUGGUUGGAAGACUGAUCCAGCCAUGCCGCGUGCAGGAUGAAGGUCUUAUGGAUUGUAAACUGCUUUUGUAAGGGAAGAAUAAGGGCUACGCGUAGUUUGAUGACGGUACCUUACGAAUAAGCAUCGGCUAACUCCGUG